rnacentral:rRNA from 1 species
UACGGAGGGUGCGAGCGAUAAUCGGAAUUACUGGGCGUAAAGGGUGCGUAGGUGGUAUGGUAAGUUAUCUGUGAAAUUCCUGGGCUUAACCUGGGACGGUCAGAUGAUACUGCUGUACUCGAGUAUGGGAGAGGGUAGUGGAAUUUCCGGUGUAGCGGUGAAAUGCGUAGAGAUCGGAAGGAACACCAGUGGCGAAGGCGGCUACCUGGCCCAAUACUGACACUGAGGCAAGAAAGCGUGGGGAGCAAACAGG